AUUCUGCUCCAGACGCGGGAGUUUCUCCUGCAUAGCCUCUCCUACCCCUGGACGCGAGUGGGGUUUUAACCCUGCGCACCGGCCACCCUAAGCCCUCUGAGUCCGGAGAACAGGCUCUGGGCGGCCCACUGCGGCUGCUCCAUCCGAGUCCUGGGCUCCAGCGCCCUCACCCGGCUGCUGCCGCUGGACUUCGCGCGCCCGGGUUCCGCAGGCUCGGGUCUGCGUCUCCCAGAGCGGCCGCCAGAGCCCGCCCGGGUCCGGCCGGGGCGCGGGGCCCCCGCCCCACUUGGGCAGGCGGGGAGCUUCAGCGGGGGGCGGGUCGGUGGCGCGCGGGCGUCAGGGGCCCCGGGGAGGAGUCAGCCCGGCGCGGCCAGCUGAAGCGGCAGCUCGCUAUAAAAGCCGCCGCUCUGGCCGGCGGCUGGGGAGCGCGGGCGAGCGCAGCGCGUUGCAACCCGGCUGAGCCUGGCGAGCGCAAGCGGCGCGGCUGGCGUCGGCGGCGGGGCGCUCGGGGCCGGAGGAGCUGAGCGCGGUCAGGGGCUGAGCCCCGCUUUCCCAGACGAACUACCACUCCGCUUGCUCACGUCCCGGGAGAUCGCAGGGCCCGUCAGUGUGCCCCCGACCGCUCCGGCCGCUGCGCUUCUGGCCCGCGAGGCGUGCCACUGUCUUGGCUACCGACCGGGAGUGUCUUGCCGAGGAGGGACCGCUCCGAGGGUCAGGUCGCGGAGUCCAGCCCACAAGGAGCCGGCUCACACUGUGCAUGAGUGGGCAUGCAUCUGGCAACAGGUCUGCGCCCUGCUGCUCGGCCUUCAGCACGGUCUUCCUUCUGGUGUUUCCCUCCGCCUCCCGCUGCCUACACGCUCGUGCACUCCCCGACGGCGCUAGGCACCCAGCAUCGCUCUGGCACGCGACGGGUGGAGGCAAUUGAACGUUAGAUGACACGAGGGCCCCUACUGCUGUUUAGGCUGAGAGCCCCAACCUGCCAUCGCUGCAAGAGGGUUCGGCGGUCCCUGGCAAGGGUCGUCGGCUCCAAGAAAGGUCAUAUUAGGUUGGGAAGAAAGUCAGGGACCUGGUGGAGCGCAGGCCAGGGCCGUGGCCAGGUCUCCAGCUCGCCGCUCUGGGAACCAGGGCCAGAGACAUUCUGGAAUGGACCCGGCCGGACGCAUGUGCUCUUGAGAAAGGAGCUCAGUGCGCCGAGGUCCUCCGCCGCAGACUCGCUGUCCGCAUUCUCAGAGACGGCCGCCGUUCCCCAAGGGUCCAACACUACUGCCGUCCCCGGCGCGCCGCCAGGAGCCGGAUUUGAGGUCCUGAGUCCUGCUUCAUGCAGCCAACGCUGCCCACAGGGACUCCAGCUCCGCUUUAUAUUCAUGUUCGAGAACUUGUUGAUGGAAUUGGUGAAAGUGCUGAAGUUGAUCACGAUGCAAACAAACAAAACAAAACCAAAACUUGUUCACCAAAGAAAAAUGGAAGAAUUUUUGCAUGAAACACAUAAGUUGCCUGUUUUUCCCACCUGGACCACCUGGAGGAAAGAUAAAGUAAGUAAUUCUCAAAAUCUUAUCACAGCCCUCUGGUUGAGAUGAUCGAUUCUUCCUGAUUCUUCUCUCAAAAGAAUGCAGGAUCUUCCGAGGGGCCUUUUUUGUCCUCUUGAAGGUGAAGUUCCCUCGGGUACUGAUGGAGAUUGGCGUCCACAGCCCCAUUUCUGGAUUCCUGCAGGGUGAAGUGAGGGGUUGCUGCACUAGGGCAGCACCUGGGCUAGGAAACCCCUGAGUGGUCGUUACCAGGCAGGAAGCGUAUUCCCCUGUGCUUGAGCCUUGCUUGGCUGUGAGACCCUAACCAAGACACGCACUCACUCUGCCUGGUGCAUUGCCACUUACUUGUUCUCAGAUAGAUUUGAAAAUUUCCUCCAGCUCCACCUUCGGGGGUCUGUCUGGUAGAAAUCCCUAAUAUGUGACACGCCACAGAAGUUUGGAUAAUGGAGUUGUAGUCGGUCCAAUCUUACAGUUACAUUUUUUUUUUCCCCCCACAAAAUGUACGUGUGCAUGUCUGUGUGUGUGUGUAUUUCUGCCAGUUUCACGUUCUGGGGCUCUUAGAUUU
ensembl:lncRNA